UACAAACACAGGUACUUCCAAUUCAUUUUAAUUCUAAAAGAGCAUCAAGACUGAAAUGCUCAGGAUAUGUUGUGAAAAAGAUCUGCGGAACCUCUGGCACACAAGGUCAGCUACUCCAUAACAGUUUUUCAUUCUCCAUUCUCCAAGAUGUCUGGGGGUGAAGCUGGAACAAAUUCUCAUUCCUUGUGGCAGACCUGACGUUCUGAAGUAGAAAUUUUAUUGAUGAAUUCACAAAGCACACCGAGAGCUUAUCAGUACAAGUGUUGUAUUUGGCAUUGGUUACGGACCCCCACUUUCCCCCAUAUGUUUUCUUUCAUUCCCACCUUUUUUCCAUUCACAUCCAUCUCUGGAUGUUGUGGCUGUGGAGACAUUCAUCUUGGACCGACUGCUAAUCAGCAUUGGUCGUUAAACUAGAAAUGUGUUUUUCUCCACUUUUGGGAAAUAUCAGUUUGGGGAAUGCAUUUCUAUGUUUGUUUCUUUAAAAGGGGAUUGUAUCUCAAGGAAUUAAGUUUGGACUUUGAUAUACUAUGAAAAAUAGCUUUUAUUGAAACUAAUCAGUUUAAUGCUAAUGUUGCCAAUCACCAUAAUAACUAUGAUAACAGUUAAAUAGUGAGAGGUUUAUCAAAUCUUGUGUUGUUCCUGGCUCUGUAAAUUCUUCUGAUGGAUCCCAAAGUAAGAAACAAGUGUUUUUGUACUUUUUUUAAGCUAAUGUUUAUGAUUGAGACCCAACCAAGGGUCCUUUGGGAAUGGUUGGGAUGUGGAUGGAUAGAUAUUUUUUAUAUUUAAAAAAUAUAUAUAUUUAUCAUUUUUAUAUAUACUACCAUUCAAA